AAACCGGGGAGAAACCACUGACACACAUGCAUGGCAGCUCAGGAGUCGACUCGUUCCAUAUAAAGCCAACACUGUGAAAACUGAGUGGCAUUAAAAAUACGAUAUUCCCUGGAGGAAUCAGACUGCCUGGAAAAGUGUUGGCCACCUGGAGUAACAAAAACAACACGCUGCUGCACUAGUCCUGGGGAAGCACCCACAUAUCUGAAGAUACCUCAUAGUUAGGAGAGUUUCCAUGCCUCCGUAUUCUUGACCAGGAAGGAUGGGCUGAGCACGGACAUAGUGGACCACAGCGGUAUGCAAGGCGAGUCACGAGCUGCAACGACGACAAGCAGAUGGCCAGAGGCAGCCUUGCUCCAAGCUUUGCUGCUGAUCAUCCACAUCCUUGUGGUUGCCCUGUUAGUGUGGCAAUGCAACAGGAGGAGUUAGAGGACGUACACGGAGGCACCGAGCCCUCUUGGGACCCUUGACUGGGGACUGAAAUGUUUUCUGCUGGCUGGAGGCUGUUCUGAGGGAUGGCGAGAGCUUCGGACAGGAGAUGUUACAUAUUGUGCAAGUCGGGGCAGCCAUUAGAUGUUACACUCCUUCUCUGUGCUCUGACUUGUUUGCUUUAGAGGGAGGCUUUUCAAUUGCAUUGGUAUUUAUGUUGUUUUGCAGUGUUUUUAUUAUUAUCCUGAA